GUAACAAGGUACGAGUAGGUGAACCUGCCCGUGGAUCAUUACAGCGGGGCUUCGGCCCCUCGAGAUACCACUACCUUUGCCUUUGGAGCACCGACCGUUUCCUCGACAGGCUCGCCUGUCGGCAGGACAUCCCCCAAAACCACUUGAAUGCGAGCAGUAUUCGUCUGAAAAACACGCAAAAACUUUCAAAACUAUCAACAAUGGAUCUCUUGGGUACGCCAUCGAUGAAGAACGCAGCGAAAUGCGAUAACUAGUGUGAAUUGCAGAAUUCAGUGAAUCAUCGAGUCUUUGAACGCACAUUGCGCCCAUUGGCACUCCUUUGGGCAUGCCUGUUCGAGCGUCAUAUAACCCCUUCAAGCCCAGCUUGGUGAUGGGCGCCCGUCCGCGGGGGGUGUAACCCCCGGCGAACCCGCCCCAAAUGCAUUGGCAGCCGACCGACCCGCCCCGAGCGCAGCAGAAACGCGCCUCGCGAGGCCGGGCGGCGGCUCUCCAGCAAGCCAACCACCCACACUUUGACCUCGAAUCAGGUAGGGAUACCCGCUGAACUUAAGCAUAUCA
rnacentral:rRNA from 1 species